rnacentral:rRNA from 1 species
AACUUAAGCAUAUCAAUAAGCGGAGGAAAAGAAACUAACAAGGAUUCCCCCAGUAACGGCGAGUGAAGAGGGAACAGCCCAAAUUUGUAAUCUGGCCCUUUCAGGGUCCGAGUUGUAAUCUCGAGAACUGUUUUCCGCAUUGGACCGCGUACAAGUCUGUUGGAAUAUAGCUUCAUAGAGGGUGAGAAUCCCGUAUAUGACGCGGACUACCAAUGCAUUGUGAUACAGUCUCUAAGAGUCGAGUUGUUUGGGAAUGCAGCUCAAAAUGGGUGGUAAAUUCCAUCUAAGGCUAAAUAUUGGCGAGAGACCGAUAGCGAACAAGUACCGUGAGGGAAAGAUGAAAAGCACUUUGGAAAGAGAGUUAACAGUACGUGAAAUUGUUGAAAGGGAAACGCUUGAAGUCAGUCUUGCACUUGGUUGUUCAGCCUUAGGGUGUAUUCAACUUUGAGCAGGCCAGCAUCAGUUUCAGAUGUCGGAUAAGGGURGGGGAAAAGUAGCAGCUUCGGCUGUGUUAUAGUCCCUUACUUGAUACGACGUCCGGGACUGAGGAACGCAGUGAGCCUUUUGGCGGGUUUUCGGACCUUCUCGCUAUGGAUGCUGGCGUAAUGGCUUUAAACUGACCCGUCUUGAAACACGGACCAAGGAGUCUAACAUGCUUGCGAGUGUUUGGGUGUCAAACCCGGGCGCGUAAUGAAAGUGAAUGUAGGUGGGAAGCGCAAGCUGCACCAUCGACCGGUCCGGAUUUUUAAUGAUGGAUCUGAGUAAGAGCAAGUAUGUUGGGACCCGAAAGAUGGUGAACUAUGCCUGAAUAGGGUGAAGCCAGAGGAAACACUGGUGGAGGCUCGUAGCGGUUCUGACGUGCAAAUCGAUCGUCGAAUUUGGGU